AUCACCUGAGGAUCUUGUUAAACUGUAGAUUCUGAUUCAGGGGCCUGAGAUGCUGCAUUUCUAACAAGCUUCCAGGUGCUGCUGA
rnacentral:pre_miRNA from 1 species